rnacentral:rRNA from 1 species
GCAGCAGUAGGGAAUUUUCCGCAAUGGGCGAAAGCCUGACGGAGCAAUACCGCGUGGGGGAUGACGGCCUACGGGUUGUAAACCUCUUUUUUCAGGGAGGAAAAAAUGACGUGUACCUGAAGAAUAAGCAUCGGCUAACUCCGUGCCAGCAGCCGCGGUAAUACGGAGGAUGCAAGUGUUAUCCGGAAUCACUGGGCGUAAAGAGUCUGUAGGUUGCUCAAUAAGUCAACUGUAAAAUCUUGAAGCUCAACUUCAAAAUUGCAGUCGAAACUAUUGAACUGGAGUAUAGUAGAGGUAAAGGGAAUUUCCAGUGGAGCGGUGAAAUGUGUAGAGAUUGGAAAGAACACCAAUGGCGAAAGCACUUUACUGGGCUAUUACUGACACUCAGAGACGAGAGUUAGGGUAGCAAAUGGGAUUAGAUACCCCAGUAGUCCUAACUGUAAACAAUGGAUACUAGGUGUUGAACAGAUUAACCUGUGCAGUGCUAAAGCUAACGCGUUAAGUAUCCUGGGAAGUAUGCUCGCAAGAGUGAAACUCAAAG